GAAACCACACGUGAUAGACACUAGUUUCUUUGGUACGGCAUAGACCAUAGAUUAGAUUUGAACCAAAGUUCAAAUUGAUCUGCGUUUAACAGUCAAACCGCAACUUGACCGCAACUACCCUCUCUAUUCAACAAAACAUUUCAAGGGUAGUUUAGUAACAUUAUAAUACUAGAAAGUUCUUAAGUAGGUGAAGAGUUACCCCACGAGGUGCUAUCGCAAUUGCAAUUCUGAAUCUGAAAGCAGAAAGAUCCCCCCACCUUUGGUAUCACGAUCUUCUUCCUCAUCAACAUUCUGAUUAUUUCG
rnacentral:lncRNA from 1 species